rnacentral:lncRNA from 1 species
UCUUGCUUCUCCUGCCACUUCUUUGCUUGAUUCGUCUAAUCACUUAAGAAAUAUUCUCCACUUUCCAGUAGCAAAUCAACCUGACAUUACUCAAAUGGUGCAGAAAAGCUCUUAAGAAAUUUUUUUGGUAGUGUUAGUAGACUGUGAAUAUCCAAUUAAAUCUCUAUAAGUAAUGCAAGAGAAUUAGUAAGGGUAAUACCUGCCCAUUCAUUCCAUUUCCAUUACCAUUCACUGUAAAAAAAUGCCAAAUUGGUAUGAGGGAAAAAAACCAAAAAGAACUAACACAGACAAAAGUACCGGGAAAGAAAUAAACAAGACUCUUUUCAAGACAUUUUUGUAGUUGUUAAUCAAAUUUAUAAAAAUGGUUGAUUCUACGAAUUUAACCUGAAAUACCACCUUCUUCGGGGGAAGUCUCUCUCUCUCUCUCUCUCUCUUUUUUCAAGGUGUAUAACUUAGAUGAAAACAUAACUUAUAUAUCCAAGAAAAAUACCUACCAGAGUGUUCCCGAGUUGAAGAUUUCCGUAGUUCUAGUAAUUCUUUUAACCUCUUGGUAGCCUUUGCAGCUUCCUCAGUUUUUCUUUGGAGAACCUAAAUUAAAAUGGAUUAGCUAGCAUCAAUAAUAGUUCAAAAAUUGUUAGACAAGUGCACAAACGAGGAUGAUAAAGUUUUGCAUCCUAUAGCAACUUAAAGUACUUCAUAUACCCCCAAAUGCGGCACUUAACAUAUCAGUGAAUCAAAACAGCUUUCACUAUUUCAAGACGCACAAUUUGCACAAAUCCAAGAGGCAAAGCACACAGACAGCAGGCAACAAAAGAAAUACGCCAUUCCUGACACUUACCUGGAUUCAACUAACGAGAAAACAUAAAGAAAAUAGAUAUUUAAGUGACCAGCAAUUCCAAAAGCCAC